GUUAAAAGCUAGGGCUAGGACUUGGAGGUUGUGUAGGCAAACGGAAGGAGAGCCGGGGGAAGAAAAACCGAAAUGGAUUCGUUCUCUGUCCUGGAUGGAGGAGGAGAGGAGAGGAGAGGAGAAGGGGACGUGCGAGCUUCCUCCAACUGCCUCCGGCCGGAGAAAAGUGCCCGGACCCCCGGGGUGCGCGGGGCUCGGGACCCGCGCGGACUUUCGCUUUCGGCUGCCAAUCAAGCCGCUAACGAGCCACCACCCUGCGCUGGCAACGGCAC
rfam:Egretta garzetta contig68967, whole genome shotgun sequence.